GAUGAACGCUGGCGGCGUGCCUAAUACAUGCAAGUCGAGCGAACAGACGAGGAGCUUGCUCCUCUGACGUUAGCGGCGGACGGGUGAGUAACACGUGGAUAACCUACCUAUAAGACUGGGAUAACUUCGGGAAACCGGAGCUAAUACCGGAUAACAUGUUGAACCGCAUGGUUCAACAGUGAAAGACGGUCUUGCUGUCACUUAUAGAUGGAUCCGCGCCGCAUUAGCUAGUUGGUAGGUAACGGCUUACCAAGGCAACGAUGCGUAGCCGACCUGAGAGGGUGAUCGGCCACACUGGAACUGAGACACGGUCCAGACUCCUACGGGAGGCAGCAGUAGGGAAUCUUCCGCAAUGGGCGAAAGCCUGACGGAGCAACGCCGCGUGAGUGAAGAAGGUCUUCGGAUCGUAAAACUCUGUUAUUAGGGAAGAACAAAUGUGUAAGUAACUAUGCACGUCUUGACGGUACCUAAUCAGAAAGCCACGGCUAACUACGUG
rnacentral:rRNA from 1 species